rnacentral:rRNA from 1 species
AGCGGCGGAAGGGUGCGUAACACGUGGGUAAUUUGCCUGAGGGUUCAAAAUAACUUCGAGAAAUCGAAGCUAAUAGUGGAUGCUUGAUCGGCAACGAUCAAAAAGCUGGGGAUCGCAAGACCCAGCGCCUUCAGAUAAGCCCGCGGCCUAUCAGCUAGUUGGUGAGGUAAUGGCUCACCAAGGCAACGACGGGUAGCUGGUCUGAGAGGACGACCAGCCACACUGGAACUGAGACACGGUCCAGACACCUACGGGUGGCAGCAGUCGAGAAUUUUUCACAAUGGGCGAAAGCCUGAUGGAGCGACGCCGCGUGGGGGACGAAGGGCUUCGGCUCGUAAACCCCUGUCAUCUGCGAACAAGUUUGGCGCCGGAUAAUGGUGUCAAUUGAUAGUACCAGAAGAGGAAGGGACGGCUAACUUUGUGCCAGCAGCCGCGGUAAUACAGAGGUCCCGAGCGUUGUUCGGAUUUACUGGGCGUAAAGGGUGCGUAGGCGGUUGGCAAAGUUUGGUGUGAAAUUCUGUGGCUCAANUACAGGAGUGCAUUGGAAACUUGCUGACUAGAGUACUGGAGGGGGGACUGGAAUUCUCGGUGUAGCAGUGAAAUGCGUAGAUAUCGAGAGGAACGCCAGUGGCGAAAGCGAGUCCCUAGACAGUUACUGACGCUGAGGCACGAAAGCUAGGGUAGCAAACAGGAUUAGAUACCCUGGUAGUCCUAGCUGUAAACGGUGCACGCUUGC